CCCUAUGGGGCGCAGCAGGCUGAUUUUCCGCAAAUUCCCUGGAAACGGUUGCUUAUUUGGGGAUUUUCCGCGGCAGUUCCGGUGGUUGUUUCUGUCGGAAUCUUAUUGUAUUAUAACUAUAUCCGUUUCGAGGAUUGGUUUGAUUUUGGUUAUGUAACGAACAACGGAGCGGACUGGAUUUUGGAAGCUGUGCAAAAAUAUGGGAUGUUCAACCUUCAUUUUUUCAGGAAUAAUCUGGAUGUGAUGAUUUUUCGGCGUCCGCGGCUGGAUUUCUCCGGGGAACGUUUCUUCUUUCAGCCGGGAAUAUCCGGAUUCAGCAUAUUUAUCAUGACCCCGCCGUUUAUCUAUUUAUUCCGCAGAAUAAAAAAGAACUGGUGGAUGAUCGGAGC
rnacentral:rRNA from 1 species